UACGUAGGUGGCGAGCGUUGUCCGGAUUUACUGGGCGUAAAGGGAGCGUAGGCGGACUCUUAAGUGAGAUGUGAAAUACCCGGGCUCAACUUGGGUGCUGCAUUUCAAACUGGAAGUCUAGAGUGCAGGAGAGGAGAAUGGAAUUCCUAGUGUAGCGGUGAAAUGCGUAGAGAUUAGGAAGAACACCAGUGGCGAAGGCGAUUCUCUGGACUGUAACUGACGCUGAGGCUCGAAAGCGUGGGGAGCAAACAGGAUUAGAUA
rnacentral:rRNA from 1 species